CACACACACACCGCACAGCCCCCCGGCCUGGCAGACACAUCCAAGCUUCCAGCCCGCUGUGACCGUGGAGCGAACAUCUUCUUACUUUGACAACAUGGGAGACAUGGGGGAUCCACCCAAAAAGAAGCGGCUGGUGUCUCUGUGUGUGGGCUGUGGGAACCAGAUCCACGACCAGUACAUCCUGCGGGUCUCCCCAGACCUGGAGUGGCACGCCGCCUGCCUCAAGUGCGCCGAGUGUAGUCAGUACUUGGACGAGUCCUGUACUUGCUUCGUCAGGGAUGGAAAGACUUACUGUAAGCGGGACUACAUCAGGUUAUACGGGAUAAAAUGCGCCAAGUGCAACAUCGGCUUCAGUAAGAACGACUUCGUGAUGAGGGCCCGGUCCAAAGUCUACCACAUCGAAUGUUUCCGGUGCGUGGCCUGCAGCAGGCAGCUCAUCCCGGGAGACGAGUUCGCUCUGCGGGAGGACGGACUCUUCUGCCGGGCCGACCACGACGUGGUGGAGCGGGCGACACUGGGCCACGGAGACCCGCUCAGUCCGCUGCAUCCUGCCAGACCGCUGCAGAUGGCAGAACCCAUCUCGGCGCGGCAGUCCGCCCUGCGGCCUCACAUCCACAAGCAGCCGGAGAAGACCACCAGGGUCCGGACGGUUCUGAACGAGAAGCAGCUGCACACGUUGCGGACCUGCUACAACGCCAACCCGCGGCCGGACGCGCUGAUGAAGGAGCAGCUGGUGGAGAUGACCGGCCUCAGUCCGCGGGUCAUCCGGGUGUGGUUCCAGAACAAGCGCUGCAAAGACAAGAAGAGGAGCCUGCUGAUGAAGCAGCUCCAGCAGCAGCAGCCCAACGACAAGACGAACAUCCAGGGCAUGACAGGAACCCCGAUGGUGGCCGCCAGUCCGGAGCGGCACGACGGGGGCCUGCAGGCCAACCCUGUGGAGGUGCAGAGCUACCAGCCCCCCUGGAAAGUCCUCAGCGACUUUGCUCUGCAGAGCGACAUCGACCAACCCGCUUUUCAACAACUGGUGACUUUUUCGGAAGGCGGCCCUGGCUCGAACUCGACGGGCAGCGAGGUGGCGUCCAUGUCGUCUCAGCUUCCGGACACACCGAACAGUAUGGUGUCCAGUCCCAUCGAGGCUUGAGCUCCACAAGCUGCAUUGGACCGAAGCUCCUCAUGUUCCUGUCACUGCUUGUAUCUUUGACACUGUGAAGACAAUCAUGGGAUUUUACCACCAACAAAGUCCAUGCAGAAGAAGACACCAACUUGCCUGCGCGACUGUUUUUGCCAAAAGAGAAGACAAAGGGGGACAUUUAACACUUUGGACUUUGCAAAAUGAACUUUUCUUCUUUCUUCUUUUGACUUCAUCAAGCAUUUGCAACAAGGUAUACCUCUUUUUUCACACAAGCUUCGUGGGACUUUUCCUAACAAAGCAGCUGAAGCCCGAGAAGCAAAUGUCACUUUUUCCCAACGAGCCGAGGGCAGGAUGACGUCUGCUCCACGUCCUCAUGCUGCGCUGUCAGAUAUUUCUAUGUCUCACGUUGUGGAAAGCAAAGUGGAGGACGUGUCAGUCACCUUGGGAGAAGGUCAACAGCAAAGUGCACAACACACCUGAGCACCGUGGACACAGCAGUAAUCCACUCGUGUUCUGAACAUUAUGCUCAAACCAUCUGCGUGACAGCUAUGCCAGGUCUUGGACUUUGAAGAGAGACACAAGAGUCGUGAAAUGUUGGACAACACAAUUUAUUUAAAAGAUAUAACCACCUGUCAGCAUGCAUCCAACAGCCCAGAGCUGUCCUAUCUAGUCUUUCAGCAUGAACUGAUGAAACCUGCUCAGAUGAGACGCAAAACGUCUUUGAAGACAACAGGAUCAGUCCGGUCUUUGAGUAUGAACUGAUAAACCCUACGUUGAUGAGUGGCAAAAUGUCUUUGAAGACAAUCUGAACAGUCCAUCUCAAGAUCAACCACUAGAUAGGAUAGCCCUAGUCUAUCUAAUCCUUGAGCAUGAACUGACGAAGCCUACUCGGAUGAGUGGCGAAAUGUUUCCGGAGCUGACCUGAACAGUCCGGUUCAAGCUCAAAGACUAGAUGGGACAGCUCUGGUCUAUCUAGUCUUUGAGCAUGAACCGAUGAAGCCUCCUUGAAUGAGUGGUGAAACGUCCUCGGAGACAACUUGAACAGUCCAGUUGUGAUGCAUUCAAUGCCCUAAGAAUACACUGACUUGGAUGAAUGAGAAUAUGCAUAGGCACAAGCAUCCGAAAACACUACAACGCUGCUUAGCGUUGGAUUUAGUCAUGACAGCGGUUCUGUGUAAGCUACUUGUCAGCGGGCGGAGAAACUAAUGUCAGGGUAUUCUUAUGUAACUUUGUAAGCCAAAAUAUGAAUGCCUUGCUGAAAGACAUAUUUUGUGCCACAGGCAGCUCCAGAGAGACAAAUACAUGAUGGGUAUACAAGCAAUUAAAAAGUCACUUUUCCAUAACAUUCCCCCUUUAAAUCAAAGCCAAGGUUGUCUAUUUAUUCACGAAGGAGUGUAUAAAAACACAUACAGGCUCUUUUCCUUCAGCGGUGCCUCCCCUCUGUUGUAUGGUGGGGAAGUGGACAUGCUGAAAGCAGGGACAAAGCGUCCCGAUAACGUAAGCUACAGCUCACAGACUAUUCAGAGCCGAUGGCAGGAUGGAACAAAAGCUGCACUGUUCCUUGGGCAGGUUUAAGCAAACAAUGUGCUGCCUUUGGAUGAGACAAGUCAAAGUGGCAAGGGAGUGAGCAGUGAAACACGCCACCGGAACCGGUACCUGAAAUCUACCAAUGACCGUCCACUGGUUAGUCGACCAGUGAAAGAAAUACAUGUGUUUUUAUGUUGAAAUAUUAUACAGCGUGAAAAAUAAGUACAAUAAGUACAUUUUCUAAGUUUACCCCCUUACAAAGAUAUGAACCAUGCAUCAUUUUUAUGAUAGCUUUAUUGCAACAGGCAUUGAAAACGAAAGUUUUGGUGUUCUACCAAUUUCCAAAGUGCGGUACAGGAAGUGCGCAAUGGUGAAUGGUUCCACCAAAGGAAUCCUUUCGACAAAUCUGUGCUUUUAAAAAUCAAAUACAGCUGAAAAAAUGUUGCCAGUCGAUAAAGAAGGUGAGGAACAAUAUUCAAUUCAAGAAAAACGUGCUAGCAAAGCAGGAAGGUAGCGUCAAGGUACAAUAGGAUUGUAACGUAAAGGGUCCUAGUUAACACAAGUUGCAUGGGGAACGGUUUAAGGGAGACAAUUCCUUUUGGAAGGCAUAUUUAUGAUGAAAACCCAGCUUUCACUGUAUUCACCUUUUUGACAAUUUUAUGAGGCACUGGGGGUAAUUUGGGUUUGUAUUCAUUAGCUUUAAGCUAUAAUCAUUAAAAAUAAAAGAAAUGAUGAAAUAUUUCACUCUACUCGAACUACUAAAAAAAAUGUACUGUUCAAACAUAAAUUUAUUGAGAUGCACUUGUACGCGUACACGCACGCGCACACACACCCACACACACACGCAUACAUUUGACUUUUUAGUACGUCCAUCUCGCUGUCUGUCAAGGUUGGAUAAGAUGUCGUGUGACCAAAAAGAGACAAACGUUACCUCACUAGAUCAUUUUGCAGGCUUGGCAAGACAUCUGUUUAUAUUUUAUUGCUGCUCAAACUGCAGCACUUCGGUUGUAUUUCAUUCACCUGCGCCUGCAGGGCAUUAGAGGGUCUCCAGCAAUCACAGCGAUAGAAUCUAAGAAACCGAGGCACCAUAAAUCCAAUGCUGUUGCGAACACACAGAGGCUUUAAAAGCACCACAAAAGUCACUUUGCCGGGUUGUGGUGCAGAGAUUGAGUUGUGUCACAGCUGCAGGAUGUCAGUCCAUUACAGCAAAGUGUCUUACUAAUGCUUUUCUUGCUGACAGUGCUCCCAACUCCCUUGACAUCACUAACCAUCUCCUCCCUUGUUGUUCAGGGAAGGUUCACUUAAAAGAGCCCCUGUCUCAGGAUGCGGUGCACCUGUUUGGGAAGACUUGGCCUUUGUGUGCCGCCAUUGUUCAGUAGAUAUCCUUUCAAGCUGGUACUAUUAAUACUACACUUCAACCAGUAAGAAACUUUACUACAAUUAAAGUAAUCCUUCACACUCUUCAAACUCUUACCGUUGCACUUGCACUUUAAUAAAAAUAAUUGGUGUAACCGGGGGUGCAAAGUACAGCCCAGCUUGUUUUUUUACUGGCCCACAGCUUAUUAUGAAAAUUAGACAUUAUAUUAAUUUGCUGUGUCACCUAUAACACAAAGUUUAUAUAGCUUAUAAUACAGUAUAUUGACUUACAUUGGAUUGGUUUGAUCGUUUUACAGCGUGGACCUGCUGCAGGCAGUUCAAGUAACAAAGGUGUCUGCACUGGUCCCAUACGGCCGUUUAACGAUUCCGUCUGCCUCCAUCUAAAUAUUUACGUCUGAAAGUCAAAUGUUUUGGCCGUGGAUGGUAGAUAAACAGUGUGAGAGUAAUGUCCAAAUACAUCUGAGACACGUCUGUUUUAAUAUGAAUAACGAAGAAAGUGGCUGAAAAACAUCUCAAUUGGGUCUAACAACUUUCCAGUUUCAGUGGUAGCCCCUGAACGCCCCACAUUGCUUGUUUCGUAAUGAUAUUUGGAUCGCUAUUAUCUUGGAAUAGUAUUAUUUGGAUGGCUAUUACCUUUGAGUACAGUCAGACUUCGUCACAUCGCAGUUCUAAUUUCACGGCUUCAAUCUAUCAUGAGAUUUUAAGAAUAUAUUAUUUAAUAAGGCAUGCUGUUUCAUGGUUGAAUACGGCCUCUUAUAUCAUCCAAAAAUGUGCAUAUUUCAGCAAAUGUUGAUUUUUUUUGCCUAAAUGAAACAUUUCCAAGCAUAAAAAUGGCAAAAUUAAUUAAAAUCGAAAUAUAAGGCAUUCAAAAGCGCAUUCAAUGAAAUGUAGUAUUCCACACUGGUCACUACAGUAUGUGUCAGUUAUGUUACUGUAAUGUUUGGUGAGAUACACAAGCACCAGACUUGAUCACUGGAACAACAGGCUUUAUUGCAGGUUUGAAUGAUCUCACGACACACACAAGAAUCCCUUUUACGGCCCACGCAAAACUGAAAGUCAACUCCGAACCCCCGGCAUCACUUCCUGUCUGCCACCCUUUCAGGUCCCCUAGGGAACACAUUCAUAGCAACACACAUGAGCAUGAGUCUUAUUUAUGUCUUAAAUGGCUUAUUUGCUUGUAUUAUGUCUUCUAUAUUGGGUAUGACGAGAGUAAAGGCGACUAUAGGGGUGUUAUUUCAUGUCUCUCAGUUUAAUGACAAUAAAUUGCUUUCACAAGUUGUUUUUUUUGUCUCAAUCCCAUUUCUUCUUUUUGCAUUUUGAAUCUCCUUGAGAUCUAACAGCGCCACAUGUGAAUUCUUGCACGUAUUCAACUGGUGCUAAAAUGUUGAUCAUGAGUGUACGUCUGUAAAGCAGCUGAAAAAAACAGUAACAAAGUCCAAACAACAUACGCCCUCCUUUUUCAGACAGAAUCAUUAAUCACUGAUCAUCGUGGGACAGACUUUAGAUUCAAGACUCAUUGUCCCCCUAGUGAGGCCCUGAGGGGCGGACCUGAAUCAAGUUAUCGAGGCACUGCUAAUUGCUAAUGUAAAUUUGGGGAGUAGAUGUGGACACUGGCAAAUACGCCGUCCUUCGCCAUAGCACGGAGGAUGUCUUGUCUGUACUUCCGUCUGUUCAACAGGGCAGUACUAACCCUAAUCUUAACCUCAAUGCUAACCCCAAAGCCUAACCCUAACCUAGUAUGACAGCGGUGUCUAGCUGUCUGCAUUGACACCACAUGACACUGCUUUGUAAAAGCAUCCCAGAUCAGGGUUUGCUUUUCCAAACCAUCCCGUGCUUAGCAGAGCUGUAUUGCUUCACAGCCAUACGACAGCAAGGCUGCUCGAGGUUUUUGUGUUUUUAGGGAUAUGAUGGCAGAUAAUCUUCGUGUUUGGCAGCGAGUGAUUCUAUUUCAAUGCAAAAUAUGACAGCACUGUUGCUGAAACCCACUCAGACUGAUGCGUUGCUGCCAUCGCUCCCUCUCUACAUGUGACAAUGAUAACACACUUGGCUUUAAACCACUUAGACAUCCACAACACGAGAGUUUUGACCUUCCUUGUUUGGAAAGGUUGGGUUGCGUGUGCUCAGGGUCGCCAGUGAAAUUGGUACAAAAACACUGGAAACAAAAGCAAGCUUGACUGGAAAAUAAUUGAAAAGACUCUUAACUGAUGCACAUAUCACAGAAUGAUGAUGACCAGUGUAUCGUUCAUAUGUGUUGUUGUUGUUUUUUUUAGGAUUAAUAGUCAUCAUAAUGAAAAGCAAAUCAGUUAUUCAAAUAACCUUAAUAUGCCAUCAUGGUGUCCUUUAACCAGGUUGUCUUUUUCAUUGUCUGUUUUUUCCAUGGAAAAUCAGGGGAUUGAGGCAAUUUGGUAAAAAUUAACAACAUUUAUGAAUGAAUUAGUGUUAGAUAGAGGUGAAUAAGUAUUUAAUGGCAAUACAAAAGGUGGUGUAGAAGGUCUUGUUGGCAAGUACAGGGGUCAGGCGCUUCUUGGAGUUUCUCACCAGGGUUGCAUACGUCUCAGGAGGGAUUUUACUCAAAGAAACAUCCACAAAGCAGAGUGUUUCUACCUCCGUGUUUGACAGGAGGGAUGCUGUGAUAGUCAGCAUAUUCAGUCCAUGACAUCAACAUGUCUUACUUGCUUUUCUUGCUGACAUCAUCAACCCGGCUGCUGCUUUGUCAUUCUAAGUUGCUGCCUCACAUUUCUCACAAUCAUCCUUACUCCGCCAGGUGAGAUCAUGCAUGGAGUUCCAGACGGUUAUCUUGGAUUUCUUCCAUUCACCAACAGUGCUCUCUUCUUCAUGCUCUUUUAGUCUAUUCCAGUUGUAGGAGACAGGUUAUAAGUUUGUGUGUUUUGUCUGCAUGUGAGUCACAUAAUGACUUGAGAUUAGAGGUACUUUCCUAGAGGGACAGGACUAACAUUAAAAACGGUCUGUGGGGGUGAAAAUGCUUACUGGUUGGUAGGGGAUAACAUUUCACUCAAUCAAAUACAAUUUUUUUUUUUGUGUGACAUCUUGUCUCUGUUACAUUAGAAAAAACAUAAACAUUGACGGUUUAUGUUUGUAAGAAGGUUAACUUAGAAAAUACACAUGGGGACCAAAUACUUGCUUUGCCUAUACAUACAGUGGUGUGGAAAUGUGUUUCUUUUGCAUAUUUGUCAUCCUUAAAUGUUUCAGAUCAUCAAACAAAUUGAUUUGAGUCAAUGACAACACAACUGAACACAAGAUUCAGUUUUUAAAUGAAACUUUUUAUUAUUAAGGGAGAAAAAAAAAUCCAAACCUGCAUGGCCCUGUGUGAAAAAGUGAUUGCCCCCUAAACCUAAUAACUGGUUGGGCCACCCUUAGCAGCAACAACUGCAAUCAAGUGUUUACGAUAACUUGCAAUGAGUCUCUUACAGCUGUGGAGGAAUUUUGGCCCACUCAUCUUUGCAGGAUUGUUGUAAUUCAGCCACAUUGGAGGGUUUUCCAGCAUGAACACCUUUUUAAGGUCAUGCCACAGCAUCUCAAUAGGAUUCAGGUCAGGACUUUGACUAGGCCACUCCAAAGUCUUCAUUUUGUUUUUUUCAGCCAUUCAGAGGUGGACUUGCUGGUGUGUUUUGGAUCAUUGUCCUGCUGCAGAACCCAAGUUGGUUUCAGCUUGAGGUCACAAACAGACGGCCGGACAUUCUCCUUCACGAUUUUUUGGUAGACCGCAGAAUUCAUGGUUCCAUUAAUCACAGCAAGUCUUCCAGGUCCUGAAGCAGCAAAACAGCCCCAGACCAUCACACUACCACCACCAUAUUUUACUGUUAGUAUGAUGUUCUUUUUCAGAAAUACGGUGUUACUUUUACGCCAGAUGUAACACACACCUUCCAAAAACGUUUGACUUGUCAGACCACAGGGUAUUUUCCCAAAGGUCUUGGGGAUCAUCAAGACGUUUUCUGGCAAAGUUGAGACGAGCUGUUCUUUUUGUUCAGCAGUGUUUUUCGUCUUGGAACUCUGCCACGCAGGCCGUUUUUGCCCAGUGUCUUUCUUAUGGUGGAGUCAUGAUCACUGACCUUAAGUGAGGCAAGUGAGGCCUGCAGAUGUUGUUGUGGGUUGUUUUGUGACCGCUUGAAUGAGUCGUCGCUGCGCUCUAGGGGUAAUUUGGGUUGGACGGCCACUCCUGGGAAGGUUCACCACUGUUCAUGUUUUCGCCACUUGUGGAUAAUGGCUCUCACUGUGGUUUCGCUAGAGUCCCAAAGCUUUAGAAAUGGCUUUAUACCCUUUCCAGACUGAUGGAUCUUAAUUAAUCUCACUUAAAUUAUCUUUUAACACAGGGUCAAUUACUUUUUCACACAGGGCCAUGUAGGUUUGGUUUUUUUUUCUCUCUUAAUAAUAAAAAGUGUCAUUGAAAAAGUGCGACUAAUUGCGACUAAUAUUUACAUUUGUUUGAUGAUCAGAAACAUAGCGGUCUAUAGCGGCCACUUUUGCAGACUCCCUCUAGUGGCCGCUAUAGACAGGUGGCCUCUAUAGACAGGUUGGCGUCCAGUUUGAAUGUUGACCAGUAGAGGAAAAAAAAGAAAAAAAAGGGGGAAAAAAAAUUAAUAAUAAUGUUGACCAGUAGAGGGCACUGCGGACUGCGGAUAAAAGUUGUACAACACUACUAGGCUUGUUAUUAUCAGGAUUCAUGGUUUUAAUCCUGAACAUGCAUGACUCAAACAGUAGCACAUCACAUAGUACAAUUCACAAUUUUGCAUCUCCAAAAAGGAGUAGGAAGAAGCAAAGCUUAUUUAAUCUUACCCCUCAUCAGUUUCAAUACAUUUAUUCACCUCUUAUUCUUCCAAGUGUACUUUGUAGGUCUACAUGACAAUGUAGUGCAAUCAUAGCCAAGGUUUUUACUUACUAAAAGGAAGCUAGAGGCUUAAUAAUAACUGAUAGAAUAUAUCCACGACCCACAGAACAAAGCUGCAAACAGCUUUAGUUCAUCAGGAAGUGAUGGGAAGUGACGGUGGGCGUCCCGAGCAGGAGAGCUAGGCUCAGUGCUAGCUGUGAGUUUGGAGAGAGUUGGGAAGUGUGUUUAUGUUGGCGUGGAUGUAAAGUCCUGCAGUGUUCUCCGCUGUUAAUAAAGCCAUUAAAGUGCAUCGGCGACGUGAGUCUCUCCUUCCCCACAACAAGCGGCAUUACAGUAUUGACCAAUGCACACCAGGAAAUAAACGGUGUCAUUUCUUACAGGCAUUGGCUGGACAGCUAUGUAGUGGGGCUUGUUUAACCUUUGCCUUGUGGGCAAGCAGGAAGGAGAGACGAUGCUGAGAGAUGUGUGUGUGUUCUGAGCUGCUGUCUGGUGGCCGCGUUCAAUAAACAAAGUUGGCAGAAGCAACAGGAGAAGUUUCCUUCUUUGCUUCGGAGCUGAAUAACACUGACAAGUUAACAGACUAGUAGCGAACGUGCAUGAAGCUUCUACUUGAGUUGGUAAUUUGGCCGCUAUAUGCAGUCAGAUAUUGACCAAGGGAGACAAAAUGGGUGGCUGCUGGCCGCGUUGGACAGGUGACUGCUAUACACAGGGUCUAUAACAUGUAAAUUUGCUGCGGGGGAUUUUUCAGUGGCUGCUAUAGGCA